GUUUCACCAGUGUCUCCUAAAAGAAUUUGCCAUAACUGAGUCAGCACAGUCCUGCUUCCUCCCUGUGUCCUGGUUUCAGCCCAGGCAGUACCGCUUGCACACUGAUGUUUGGUUGUUGUGAGCGACUGGUGCACACCCAGGCCUGGGCCUCUUGGAAGGGCAGAGCGCCGCCAUGAUGGCAUGGGGCAGAGGUGGCUGCAGGGCAGGCUGGAUGAGGCCACGUGUGGCCUGCAGGCCACAGGUUGGCCAUGGCUACUCUAGUCCAUUGCAGUCAGCGUGGUUCAAGAGGAUUUGGGGACAGUGAAUGCUUCCACAACUACUGUACAAAUAACACCCAAUAUUCAAGUUUGCCAGGAUGGAGUAUAUCACAGCUUUGAAGUUGCUUGAUGGGUUGGUUGGCCAAUGUACAGGAAGGUACACAAGGUGCCUGGGAGUCAAAGUAAGACCAAGCUGUGAGGAAGGUCCCAUGGCAGCAGAGGGCCAGUAUUUCAGGACAGUGGUCUCCCUGGGGCACCUGUUGUGUCCUGUUUCCUCUUCCUCACAAUCAGGAAGUCCUGAACCACUACCUACACAUUCUGAAGAAGACCAUUAAGAUGAACGUAAGUUCUCAACAGAUCAAACAAAAAUGUACUGACACCGUUUACCUAACAGAGUGGGUUAUGCCUCCUGCUUGCAAAGUUGUCAUUUCUUUACUUUUAGCAACAUGAGAAUGCCAAAACUGAACAUAUAAACAAGGUCAUUUUGCUGCCGUCACCUUUGAAAAUUCAAAUGCAGGGGAAGACAGUGAUUCCAGUUCCAGCCCAACACUUGGUGCUGGCAGAUAUCAUUGCCAUACUGACUUGUAAGCUGAUUUUUCCCAUAAGUAAAUGUCUUGCCUUCAAACUGUAUUUUACGCAAGGGUUUUCCUCUUUUUUUUU
rnacentral:lncRNA from 1 species